AACGGAGGGUGCAAGCGUUGUUCGGAUUUACUGGGCGUAAAGGGCGCGUAGGCGGCUUCGUAAGUCGGGUGUGAAAUCCUUCCGCUUAACGGAAUAAGUGCACCCGAAACUGCCUUGCUCGAGUUUAGGAGAGGAGAGCGGAAUUCCCGGUGUAGAGGUGAAAUUCGUAGAUAUCGGGAGGAACACCCGUGGCGAAAGCGGCUCUCUGGCCUAAUACUGACGCUGAGGCGCGAAAGCGUGGGGAGCAAACACG
rnacentral:rRNA from 1 species